CUAGCACUUCUAAGGGAGAAGAAGCAAGUAGGGUUUUUUCUAUCUAAGCUGUUUGUCAGUUCUCAUUGAUGAAUGCUCAUAGGAUAGAUGUGAAUGAAGGCCACUUCAGCCUGUUACUGAACUAAUGGUGAAGCUAAUCACUAUUCCACAGCCUCUCCAGGAGACCAAGAUUAGUGUUUGUAGAGAUUUAUGGGUAUCACAGGGAGAAGUCCGCUAAAAGCCCUCUAAAUAACAGGAACGUGGUGGGAACUCUUCUCUUUGCUGGAAGACUAUUUCAGGACAUGGGAAGAAGUCUGCGCCUUUUCCUUUUUUUUU